rnacentral:snoRNA from 1 species
CCAAUGAUGACUUGAAAGAAUCUGACAAUUUUGAUGUUACAAAAAAUUAUCCUCUAAGAAGUUCUGAUGGGA